rnacentral:lncRNA from 1 species
AUGGUGAACGUUCCUAAAACCCGCUGGACUUGUGUCAGAAGUGUGGCAAGCACCAACCCCACAAAGUGACACAGUAAAAAGGGCAAGGAUUCUCUGUAUGCCCAGGGAAAGUGGCGUUAUGACAGGAAGCAGAGUGGCUGUAGUGGGCAAACUAAGCCGAUUUUCUGGAAAAAGGCUAAAACUACAAAGAAGAUUGUGCUAAGGCUUGAGUGCGUUGAGCCCAACUGCAGGUCUAAGAGAAUGCUGGCUAUUAAAAGAGGCAAGCAUUCUGAACUGGGAGGAGGUAAGAAGAGAAAGGGCUAAGUGAUCCAGUUCUAA